rnacentral:misc_RNA from 1 species
GCACUUCUUCUUCUUGCUCUUGCAAUCUUCAUCGGUAGAACACUUUCGCAGACACUUCUGGCCGAACAAUUCCGCCUGUCCCUCGUUUCUUGGACACGCCGCCGACGGGGAAUUCCUCGGGUUCUUGUAUAUGCGUCCGUCAUCGUCCACCUCCGGUUUCGUUUGAUAACUCUGCUCGUCGGUGUCGUCGUCCUCGUCGUCCUCGUCGUCCCAAUCAUCGUCGUCGUCGUCGUCGUCGUCGUCAGCCGCUUGUUGUCCGAGUCUCGCUUCCGACGCGAGGAAAAAGAUACACAAAAGUAGAAGAUGCAACAAAAGGAAGCCGCCGGGUCUCAUUUUAUCAGGCGUUUGUUUGAUACUGCUCGUUUCCCGGACAAAACGACUCACACGCGUUUCGACGUCGACCGAACAACUCGUUUUAUUCGUUGAACUCGUGAGUAACGACGCGUUGAGAGAACGAUUUACGAGACGGCAGACACAAAUUGAAAAACUGUUUCACCAGAGAUGAUGAUCACCAGACGCGGUGGCCCAUUGAACGGUACUCCGUUCCGGAAGCUCCGCUUAAAGUAGCAGCAGUCUCAUCCCGAGGCACCGCGCGCACGAGGACGACGUCGUUUCUCUCGCGACCGUGACUAUUAAUCGAGUCUGCCUCUUCGGCGUCCAGGAGGAUUAGGACGGUGUCUCUGUCUCUGUCUCGCUCGCCACCUCUCUGUUCCCCUAACUCUGUGGCAAUUUUUUUCUUUAUUGUGCGGACUGCGGCCCCGUGCUGCCGGGAAUUCGCGGAUACUCGCGCAUCUCUGCACGCGCAUUCAGCCUGUUCAAUACAUCUCCUCACUCGUGCAGCUUCCAGCAGAUGGCGAGGGACAGGGGAAAAGCCCUCGGAGUUGCGCAGAAACGUGCCAUCCUCCCCUUCUAUCCCGACACAUACACCCCCCCCCCUCCCUUUUUCAACCGUUAUACGUUCUUGUAAGGGGGUGGCUUCGAUACAGUUUUAUACACGGUUACAGUCAGCAACAUGAUUCAUUCGCCGCGCGUCUAGAACCGUAUCGAAUACGUUCCUCUGAUCAAGACAAAUCUUCUUCCUUCCUCCAUUUAUAUUUGUUAGAUUUGUUUGCCAUAUGUCGGAGGCGGAGGAAUUGCGAGGUGUUAACUUCGUCUAACAUGUAUUUUCUCUGGUUCCAGUAUCGGAAAGAUGGUUUUGCGAGAACGAUAACUGUGAAACAUCACUAACGAAGGAAAAUCUCUACGAUCGUGCACCUUUAAUGCUAUGACGUCGACCGAAUGCAGUCCCCUGGCAGGAGAGAUGAGUAAUGAUCUGCCAGCGAUACAAAUCGUUGCGAUUCACCUGCAGCCGAU